rnacentral:lncRNA from 1 species
CCUGGGUUUUCACUUCCCUCCCUUAAGAGUGAAGAAGUGGCUCUUACCAAUCCAAGAGGGAGGGCCUCAAGAAAUGCCACCUCCAGAAAUUGGAAGUUGACAGGGGUGUCUGACUUUCCAGAUGAAUGUCCUCUCGUGCAGCAAACUCGCUGACUUAUGCCUGUGUGUUCAGAGAACUCCCUCGGGAACGAGGCAUCCUUUGACAAGGCGAAAAGCUGUGAGAGGUGAUGUCUGCCAACAACAGUUAUCAAUGCCAACCCAUUUCCGUGCCAUUUUCCACUCUUAAGAGGAGUAUCUAUAAAACAGAGAAAGACGCACGUCCUGAGGUGGUUUAUAUUUCCUUGGUUACCCACGGACGCUGAUUUCUCACCCCAAUAUUUGGAAGUCACUUUCUUUGAUGUCUGGGGAGAUUUUUGAGAUGUGUGCAGUAGAAAAGACACAGGGGGAAGAAGGUGGAAGGGAGGAGCCUGCUCUGAAGUCUUUUCUGCAGAUUCACCAGCUGGAUCAGUUUCAGGAAAGAACACAUCCUUGCUCCAUCUUAUAGUGGUUUGCGUACCUGGGUUCAAAAACUGCUCCAAAGAGUAUUGCAAAGGCAGUGAUUCAGAGAAAAUGAAAACUCUAUUUGUACCGAACCAAGUCCAGACUCUUCAACAACCAAACAGAUGGGCAGAUUUGUAUGCAUGUAUAUACAUGUAUUAGACCAUCUGAUGGAUUUUAAUCAUCAUGCAGCUGCAUUGUAUGUUCUAGGUAAAUUUGUGUUUAUACCCAUUGGUACACAAUUAAUGAUAAUUUUUUUUUUGUCUUUUUGACCUCUUAGGGCCGCACCCACAGCAUAUGGAGGCUCCCAGGCUAGGGGUUCAAUCAGAGCUGAAGCUGCCGGCCUAUACCACAGGCACAGCAAUGUGAGAUCCAGCUGCGUCUGUGACCUACACCACAGCUCAUGGCAAUGCUGGGUCCCUAACCCACUGAGCAAGGCCAGGGAUCGAACCCGCAACCUCAUGGUUCCUAGUCAGACUCAUUAACCACUGAGCCACGACGGGAGCUCCCC